rnacentral:lncRNA from 1 species
UAAUUGCUAUAGCAUUCCUUACACUUAACAGUUACGCAAAGGACCUGAUACCGUAGGCCCCUGUGGACUGCUUCAACCAUUUGCUGACCCAAUAAAACUUUUCACCAGAGAACCCUUACGACCCUCAACGUCUACUGUUACCCUUUAUAUCAUUGCCUCCAACCCUGGCCCUUUCUAUCACCCUCCUCUUCUGGACUCCCCUUCCUAUACCCCAUCCCCUAAUUAAUUUUAAUAUAGGCCUCUUAUUUAUUCUAGCCACAUCAAGCCUAGCAGUCUAUUCCAUUCUAUGAUCAGGAUAAGCAUCCAAUUCAAAUUAUGUACUGAUCGGCACACUACGAGCUGUGGCCCAGACAAUUUCAUAUGAAGUCACCCUAGCCAUUAUCCUGCUAUCACUACUACUGCUAAGUGGCUCAACUUAUAUGCAUGCAUCACAAUGCCAGAAUUACUCUGACCGCUCCUACCAUCAUGACCCUUAGCCAUAUUAUGAUUUAUUUCCACACUAGCAAAAACUAACCGAGCCCCUUUUGACUUAACAGAAAGAGAAUCAGAACUAGUUUCAGGCUUCAAUGUCGAAUAUGCUGCAAGUUCAUUUGCCCUCUUCUUUAUAGCAGAAUAUAUGAAUAUUAUUGUAUAAAUGCCCUGACUACUACUAUUUUUCUAGGAGUACUACACACUAUGUAUUCACCAGAACUCUGUACCAUAAAUUUCAUUACCAAGACCCUCCUUUUAACCACCGUUUUUAUGAAUCCGAACAGCAUACCUCCAAUUCCACUACAACCAACUCAUAUACCUUUUAUGAAAAAAUUUCCUACCACUUACAUUAGCAUUCUGCAUAUAUCUCAAUGCCUUUCCUAAUUUCCAGCAUUCCACCCCAAA